UACGUAGGGGGCAAGCGUUGUCCGGAAUCAUUGGGCGUAAAGCGCGUGUAGGCGGCUAGGUAAGUCUGCUCUGAAAGCCCGGGGCUCAACCCCGGGAGGCGGGCGGAUACUGUCUAGCUCGAGUCCGGAAGAGGAGUGUGGAAUUCCUGGUGUAGCGGUGAAAUGCGUAGAGAUCCGGAGGAACCCCAGAGGCGAAGGCGGCCCCCUGGCUCGUACCUGACGCUCAGCCACGAAAGCAUGGGGAGCGAACGGG
rnacentral:rRNA from 1 species